rnacentral:lncRNA from 1 species
CGUUUUGGACUGGCACCAGCCCCCUUCCUUGUGGUGAUUUUAUGAAGACAAAAAAGGAACGAUACUUCAUAGGAAGACGUGAACUCCUGCUGAUGUGCCUUUUUCAUGAGAAGGGAUCAAGGAAAAGAAGCCAGUUGCUGCCUUGUGGCCAGCAACUUGGUGUUUUUACGAUGCUACCGACACCGAUGUGGUACUCGAAGUUCUGAAACCGGCAAAGAAAAAACAACUGGAACUUUGUGGUGAGCAAGAAGAUCUGCACGCUUAGGAAUGCCUUCAAGUGAAUGAGCCAUGCCUCUUGAAGGACAGCUUCCAUGACGACCCCUGCCAGGACGAGGAUGACUUCCCCUUUCAUAUGAUGACUUCCACUUUCAUAUGAUGGCUACCAUAUAAUGAUAUCUUCUGUUGAUGAUGUCCACCUCUGGCUACUUGUUAUUGCUGUUAUUACUCCAAAUAAAGAGAAUACUAUA